rnacentral:sRNA from 1 species
AAAGUCGUGUAAAGCUAAUGUAGUUAUAUAAUGCUUGAUUGAUGGAUAUCUCUAUUUUGCUGGUUUAGGGUUUAGGGUUUAGGAUUAGAUAGAUCAUCCUACUGAACCACCAAAAAUGGAAACGAACAUCAUUUAGAUGGAUUAGUCAGAUGAAUCAUUUGGAUGGACAUCCCAAAUGAGCAAACGAACAGACCUACAAGGUACAAACAACAAUAGAGAUUGAAUUAAAUUUGGUGUAUCCUAUCAAUUCUGGAGAUUUACUUACAUAAUGAAUAAUUAACUGUAUUGCAAAAUCAAAUCACAAACUUGUUCCAAAGUUAGUUCUGCUUUAUCCAUUGAUAUAGUUCAUAAACUUAAACAAGACUUGAGAAUUGAACAAUGAUCCAAAUCCCUACAAAUUUAGAUUAGACCAUCAAAACAAACAUGAUCUACAAGCAUCAGUGAAUUGUCGAGAAGGAAAUUUUAAAAUCGAUAAAUAACUCAAGAAAGCUCAAAUCAUUUUAAAUUCUAAUUUGAAUACACUCUCCAAAGAGAAGAUUGGAUUGCCGGUAAGUGAAAUAGAGUUUUUGACCUCAAGGAGAAGAAAAAAAGUGAAGGAUCUCUGAAAAAAAAGAUAAGAGAGAUAGAGAGAACUUCUCUUAAAUGGGUCUGACAUUGCCGUAUUGGUGCCGUUGGACCUUUCUACGGAGGUUUUGUGUUUACCGGCGAAUCGAUUCCGGAGGUCGAAUAUGGACCCGUCGUUUUUGUAGAAAUCGUUGUGGAUAUGGGCCGCUGGGAAGCCCAAAAGCCCAUUAAAGAAUUUUAAUGAAAAAAACCCUAAACUUAAUUUUUAAUACAAAAACCCCUCAUGUAAGAAAGUCCAAUGAAAAAAUCAUUCAAUUAAUAAUCAGUCAAUAUAAAACAUCUUACUAAAUUAUUAAUGCAAAUCACCUUUUUAAGUACGGAGUUUUAUUAAAAUGACCCGUUUAUUUAUAACUAGGUAAGGCCCGCCUAAAUAGGCGAAUGAAAAAAUGAAUUAGAAAUUUUUAUUUAUGAUAUUUGAAUUCUAAAUAAUAAAUACUCAUCCUUACUUUUUUGAUAU